AGCACAGGCAGUUUUGUUCCUUCAGCAAGGCAUGGCAGGAGGAACACUGGAUACCUGAAACUCCUGGGAGAAGACUGCGUUUCCUGGGGUUCCAUCCUUGGCUUUCCUGCACUGUCGGAGACCGGCUGGGACCCCGGUGUGAUGAAGAAUGACACAAUGGCUUAAUGGUCAUAUAGGAUGGGGCAAAUUGGUGCAAAAAUUAUUGUUACCUGGCAAAACCAGAGGGUUUAAGGUUCAGUGUUGAAAGCUUUGUCUUGCAAGGGUACAGCCCUCUCAUCCUGACACUGCCAUCCUUCUCUGUCCUGAUGCUGCCUGGGUGCACUGAAGUGAUGACCUGCCAGAGGAUGGAGCACAGGAGACCAUGGAUCAGCACAUUGUACAAAGCACAACACAAAGCAAAGCCUUUUCUGCAGCUUUCAAGCUGAAGAUGGAUCAGGCCAGCGUUUCCCUGCUUGCCAGUUUCCCACAUGAGCUGGCAGUGGCUUCCCAAAUGUGGUUCUGCAAGGAGAUGUACCAGAGAAGGACAGGAUAGAGGUAAGUAAAGCUGCAGGUGAGUAACAGGGAAAUCCUGGUGAGGCAACACAUGGGUGCACAGCAAGCCUUUCAUCAUUACUGCUGCAGCAGCAGUGGCACUGCAAAAGGUGGCACCUCUAAUGGUGGAAUCUCUGGUUUCAAUGACCCUGAGUAGGUGUGCUUGGAGUGGCCACAGUGCCAUGGACAAGUGGCAUCUCCCAUGGCAGUGAAGGUGAAUUUCUGAGGCUCUGGAAAAAAGAUUAGAGGUCUCAGGGUUUUUUUUGUGAAAAUGGUUGUUUUCAGUAUAAGUUCUACUCCUGCUUGAGUAGAGGGAGGAAAGAAAAGGUCUUUGUUGAGAGCCAUAGUAAGGCAGGAUGGGAGCUGAGAUAUCCAUCUGCAAUGGAACAACCAUGGGAGCAUUCAUGUGGUGUUUCAUCAGGGCAAAAUGGGAGAUUUUGUCUAACCAUAGUCUCAUUUCUCUUAAGAGGCUGUUUCAGACCAGAGCAGAGCAUCCUUUUCUCUGGCUUUUGCCAGAUGAAAUUUGGAAGAAGAGGCUAGCAGGUGCUGGCAAAGGCUCCAGAGGUUCAUCCUGGAUCCCAGUUCCUCCAGUAUAUAAGCCCAGGGAUGAAACAUUCUGGCUCCUUUUGGGGAGCACAGCAUGUGUGAUCAGCGAUGACCCUUCCUAAUUCUUCCUAGUUUUCCUCUGGCAUAGGAAUUUCUUUCUUCUUCAUGGAUUCUUACUAUCCCUGAAGUUAAAAAACAACAAAAAAAAAGAUGUAAAAAUUAAAGCUUUACUAUUUUGCAGAGCCAUCGCUUCUGAUCAGAAACUGAAAUCCUGCUUUGUGCUCCUCCAGUGUGGAAAUCUGUCAGGUAAAUAGAAAUCACCUCGUAAAAGCCCUUAAACAGCUCUGGUUUAUAUUUUAAUUGAGGAACAGAACAUUUUAAGCACUUUUAUUGGGUGGCGCCUGCUGAAUGACAGAUGUCUGCGGCGGAAUAAUGCUGAGCACACUUUCAUAAAACAGAGCAAUUCCUUGCUUAAAACAUUUACAAUUAAAGGCUUGAUUGAAUAACAAUGAGUUCUGUGCAUGGAGCUCAUUUCUGCACUUGUUUGUGCACCUGAAGCAGGCUGUGAUCAUUCCGUAGGUUGGAUACGAGGUGCCAGUUGCUUUGUUCAAUGACCAAAUAGUGCUCACGGGCACAGCUGGAAAUGUGCCUUUGAUUUUCCACCAGGAUAGAGAUAAGGUGCACUGUGCUGCACUGCCAGACUUGCUAACACCCUUAUUUCAGCUGGUUUGGCUUUUUUUUUUUUUUUUUUUUAAGCUGCACGUUAGUAACUCUCCCAAUUUGUCAAGAGCCAGAGAUUUUAAAAUGAACACUAAUCCUUUGCAGCUGAGAAAGUCUUAACUAGCUUCUGCUUUACUUUUCCAUCUAACUCCUGUGACCCCUAUUACUGUAAUACCUGAGAACAUCACCUCUGGUCAUGCACUGAGCCUUGCAGUAUCUGAAGGAAGUUAGACUGGCAUUAAUAUUAUUUUCUCAUGUUCUACAUGGAGAACUGAGGCACAGACAGCUCAAGUGACUCACCCACAGGUGUUCCUUGAAAAGGAGUCCCAGUGCUAUAAGAACAUGGCCAAUCUUUGACUGGUAUUUAAAAUUUAGCCUUAUGGACAUAGAAACAGCUUUAAAACCCAAAACACCCAACAGCAAACCAGAUGACACGGCACAAACCACAACCUUUUGCUCAAGCCAGCUGAGGGACUGAAGUGAGAAAGGAUUUCGAGUUUCAUCCCUGCUGAACUGAGAAAGAUCGUGUCUGAACUGACAUCACUGCAGAUUUGUGAAGGCUCAGAAAAAUCCUAACGGCGAGAACCUGAACUUAGGAAAAACAGGCACGCUUUUCUCAAAAGAAAAGAUGAAUCCACAGAGUAGAUCUUGCCACAGCAGAAGGAACAUGUGUCACGGGAACAGCAGAGGCAAAAUGUGUCAUGGGAAAAUCUUGACGGAUUCAGCCCAGGACGAGAAUAUGCAAAUUGAUACCAAAUUAAAUGCAAUUGAGCAAGAUAACACAUAUCCCAGCACGGAAGAAAACUCACAGCAUACUUGCAAAAAAGAUGGAACUUAAAUCUAAGGGGGGUCUGAGGAUGUCUAAGCAGUCCCCAGUGACUACAUUUUGGCAGGAAUAUGAAAACUUCCCCCAAAAAAACAUUGUGAAAGUUGUUGCAGGAAUCAAACAAGGAGUAACUGAAGUGCAAGAGUCCCUUACAGAACUCAGUGGAAGAGGUGUAACCCACCCUCCAACAUAAAAACAAAGCACAGGUACUAAAUAAUAAUAUAGUUUGUCUGCUAUUAAAAAGUCACCUUGUAGCUCACUUCCAGGAUACUGUAUAUUUUUUCUUUCCUGGCCUCUCUGCUGAUAGAGGGAUUUUUAAGGGCUGCUACUUUCCAGCUCCAAAGUAGCUCAAUUUUAGUUCCAGGGGAAACGAAACUCUCAACCAGCCUUAUUUGUAAAAUCUUUGAAGAUGUGGGAAUGUCCUCUGGUUGUAAGGAAAGGGAGUGUGAUUCAGAGCUGGGUACAGAUAUAUAAAAGGGUUCAAUAUUUAAUUAAACAUAAUCUUCCUUGUGGCAUGAGUGUCUGAGCUCUUUCAAGAAUAAAAAUCCUUGGUUUUUAUUACACUGUUCUCCAAUACGUGACAACACAAACCCCUUUGCAGGGCCGUGCUGGCCCAGCACCUGCCUUCACCGUGGCGGCACGGGCUGCCCUGCUGCUGCCAGGAGAACACUUUGGGAGCUAAUAACUUCCUACUUUUACAUGACAAAUCCAUCUCUCAGGGUUGUCAGAUUGCUCUGACAUGUCUCUCCGGUGCCUGGAAACUACCAACGCACUCCCCAUGCCACUGGGGUGAGGAACCCAUGGUGCUGCACAACAGCUUAGGCUGCCCUUAGAAGCAAACAGACAUUUUCAGCUACUUACAAAAACAGCAUAGGAGGGGAAAAAAAUCGUGUUUUGGGGUAGUUAUUCUCUACAGAAAACAGGUGCCCUGAUCCUGCACCCAUGGCUGAGCUCAGCAGGAGCAAAGGAGUUAUGCUGGAAGCUUGUGCUGACGGAGGCGCUGGGGAUCUGGCUUGCAGACCUGCCUUUGCAAAGGGUCAAGACAAUCUCACUUAGGGCACAACUCUGUUAGUUUUGUUCUCUUUUUUUCUUUUUUAAUAUAAAAAAAAAAGGAGAGCAUUGGCUCUUUUCUGGAAAUGAUACUCUGCUCUGUGUGAGAAAUGAGAGCAAGUCAGUCUAAAGGGAAAGGGUGCAUUGCCUGAAUAAUACCAAGGUCUGCACUGUGUGGCCCAAUUUUGUUUUUACAUAUGUAAGGUGACUUCUAAAAGCACAAUUUUACAAACCUCUCCUUCCAUUGUUAACCAUUCAUAGCUGGCACCUACUUAACAUAGCUUAUUUUAAUAUUAUAUGGUAUCUUAUUUUUAAACCCAUGUUCUCUUAUAUGCCAUGUGUGUUAGCAUGUUGGUUGCACAGUGUCUGAAAGCUGAAUUCAGAUAGAUUUCACAGAGCUCUUGCAUUGUAUUUCACAGAAUAUUCUGAGUUUGAAGGGACCCACAAGGAUUAUCGAGUCCAACUCUUAAGUGAAUGGCCUGUACAGGGAUUGAACCUGCAAUCUUGAUUUUAUUAGCACCACGCACAAUAAUAAAUAAUAACGAAAAGAAAUAAUCUUUUUAGGAGAAAAAAGAUAAUUACUAAGCAGGAUGCAUACUGCUCUGAAAAGGAUUUUAUAAUGUUAAAGCCAGUCCCCAUAUGCCCCUUAUUCAGUGGGAUGUGUUCUUUCAGCCUUGAUGGUGGGCUGGGAGGUGUCCUUGGCUGGGGCAUUAGCAUUCCUGGGAAGUGCCCCGCUGAGUAGGAUGAGGGUUUUCAAGAAGAGGCAGCCAGGGCUUGAGUCAGAGCACAGCAGUGUCGGAGUGAAUCUUCCGGGGAUGCUGGGAUGUGAAGCGCUCCUGGGUUUCUUCGACAACAUCACGAGUCUUUGUGCCAUAUUCCCCAGCCUUUCUCCCAGACGUCUACCAGCUACACCCUUCCUCCCCGCCUGCAAUUAGCACUUACAGUGUUGCAAAGGGAGAUGAGAUUCGCUCUCGCCGUCCUCCUUCAGAGCUCGCUCACACCUUCCCCACUGGGUGGGAACAUGUGCUGUGGGUUAGGAAAUAUUCUCAUAGUGGAAUUACAUUUGCAGCAAUCCUACCCCCCGCCUCCUGUUUGCUGCUGACUAUCAGACUCCGCUGCUUCUCGUGGUGUAGGAGCACGUGAGCACAAGAGCUCAGACACAGCAUUUGGUUCAGCAAAGCCUCAAAUCUCUGUGACUCUCUUCAUUCCCCCUCACCCCCCCGUGAAAUUGCAUAUGCACAAAUUGGGCCCAGUUUGUUUCAUGCAGGGUAACUGGAGCUGGAUAAGUGCCUGCAAUUUUGGAAGAGUGGGGUGAGGAGAGAAGUGGGAGUGUAUGACCAUUGACCUUAAUUAGAGGAGAUAAAAAUGUCGAAACAUGAUUCCUAAGAAAACCAAGGAAGGCCUCUAUUGUCGAGUGUUUCCACAUGGAUGCCACUGAGAAGAGGUCAAGUGCUUUCUAUAUACUUUAAGUAAACAGCAGAUUGUGAGUUCACAGUCUGGACUGGAUUUGAGCAGCCUCUGUGUUCUGCAAGAUCAUAAUUGAGUCUUAUGUACUUAAGAUUUGAUAUCCACUGACAUUAUUACUUGAGAGUGCCAGGAAAUACAGCAGUGAUUAAGAGUUAUAAAGUUUGCAAGUAAAACUAUGCCCGAUGUCACAUAUGGCUCACCCUGUACUAGAAUCAUCCUGCUCUAAAAAAGCAGCAAUAAGGGAUUCUUGUGAAAAAGAGUCUCUGCUGUUGGCUUUCUGUGAUAAAGACAUGUCUCCUCACAUCUUCAUUGUCACAUAAAAAAUGCACAAAGCCUGUAAAAUUAAAUCUGCUAAAUGAGCAAUGGGUUAUAUGUCAGGAAUAGAGUGCUCUGAAUCAGGCAGCUUAUUUACAUACUACUGGGAAGAAUAUCAAGCCAAGUUAAAAUGUUAUGCAUAAAAUUCUUCUGUUCUUCUCAGCUAUCCAGACUGAAGGUUAAGAACACUGAAUGUGGUGGGUUUGUCCCAAAACGAGCUCCAUUUCCUUACCUGAAGGUGGGACGACACCGAAAUCAGAAUUUACAGCUGUAUUUCAUAUCUGCAGGUUCAGCUCUGGUGUCACUGGCAGCAGUUAUGGGAUAACCAGGUAGCAGCUCUCGUCUCAGGUGCUCAGCAUCUCUUCCAUGCCCUGGAGAGACCUGGCCCUUACUAAAGGUCUUGUUUACAGACAGGGAAACUGAGUCAAAGAGCAUUGAUCCGAGUCCACAGAAAUCAGUGGCAGACCAUCCAGAGCCCCAGCAGAUCUAAUGACUUCUCCAGCUAUUACGAGCAGGAAGAAAGGGCUGGAGUGUUGUUAGAGGCAUAAUUGGAAACAGAUGGAUCACUGGAAAUUUUCUGUCCUUUCAGUGGACUUCACAUGAGGAUUUCAAAUAGUUGGUACCCAAAUUAUUUAAGGUGUAUAUUGCUGGGAGGAGGGAAUGAGCCAUGCAACUUGGAAGCUCAGUCUCAAAGACUCCUUUUGGAAGUGAAACUGUAAAGCUUUAUAUGCACCUGAAGCAAAAAGUCUCUCUCUCUCUGCAUCUGCCUGUGAAAAGGAAAAAAGAAAGAGCAGCCCAUUUGUGGAUGUUUUCUUGCCGUAAUUCUGGAUUUGAAAUAUCUGUCCUUGAUUAAAGUGGGAAAUGCAAUUGCACAAGUCAUUAAUUAUUACUGAUAAACCGAAGUAGUGAUGGAGCCAAAUAAAAAUCUCCUGCCACUACAGUGGAUUUCUGAUAAAAAGACAGACCUGGGCGCCUGCAGCCUAUUUGCAUUUCCCUUUUUUGGUGAAAUAUAUGCCUGAACUUCUGGCUCUCCAAACCUCCCUUGUCCUCGGAGUACAUGAUGUCUAUAGGUACGGAUCAAGAGACGUGAACUUUAUCUACAGCGAUGGCAAAAAGCAGCUUUCAGUGACUGUCACACGUGACCAGCCCCAAUUAUGGCUCCUUCCUCAUGACAUCAGUAUGCAAUGGAGGAUCUCACUUUUUUUUUUGCCAGAGGCAAGUGAAUACAUUAUCCAGCAGCGAGGCGUGGGGCAGGCGGCUGCGUAACUCUGGGGUGAUUUGGAUUCCACGCUCGCGUGGGGGUGUGAGCCAACCUCAGAAGUCAUUUUCACUGAUGCUGACACAUAAGGCUUCCCUCAGAGACCUGUCUAUCAAACUGCAACAUGCUAUGCAGAAAAAUUAGAUUACUCAUGCUACAAUAAAGAAGGAGAAGAUGACAAUGAUGAAAAAAAAGGAAGGACUUAUAAGUAUCACAGCUAUUUAUUAAAUGAAUAAAAAUCCCGAUGACGGGGAAAGUA